rnacentral:rRNA from 1 species
GACGAACGCUGGCGGCGUGCUUAACACAUGCAAGUCGAGCGGUAAGGCCCUUCGGGGUACACGAGCGGCGAACGGGUGAGUAACACGUGGGUGAUCUGCCUCGUACUCUGGGAUAAGCCUGGGAAACUGGGUCUAAUACCGGAUAUGACCACAUGUCGCAUGGUGUGUGGUGGAAAGAUUUAUCGGUGCGAGAUGGGCCCGCGGCCUAUCAGCUUGUUGGUGGGGUAAUGGCCUACCAAGGCGACGACGGGUAGCCGGCCUGAGAGGGCGACCGGCCACACUGGGACUGAGACACGGCCCAGACUCCUACGGGAGGCAGCAGUGGGGAAUAUUGCACAAUGGGCGGAAGCCUGAUGCAGCGACGCCGCGUGCGGGAUGACGGCCUUCGGGUUGUAAACCGCUUUCGACAGGGACGAAGCGAGAGUGACGGUACCUGUAGAAGAAGCACCGGCCAACUACGUG